CUUCGGCAGUGCGCCUACUCUCCAGGAAGCUAAAGAGGCCACUUCUGAACUCAAAGAAGCCAUUGAGAACUUGGUUUUCUUGCCCAAG